GGUUAACGCUGGCGGUAUGUCUAAUACAUGCAAGUCGAGCGCCCCGCAAGGGGAGCGGCGAACGGCUGAAUAACACGUUGGUACCUGCCUUGAACUCAGGGAUACCCCGUAGAAAUACGGGUUAAUACCGGAUAGUCCCGAAAGGGUAAAGAUUUUUCGGUUCAAGAGGGGCCUGCGGCCUAUCAGUUAGUUGGCGAGGUAACGGCUCACCAAGACUAUGACGGGUAGCUGAUCUGAGAGGAUGAUCAGCCAGAAUGGAACUGAGACACGGUCCAUACUCCUACGGGAGGCAGCAGUAAAGAAUAUUUCGCAAUGGGGGAAACCCUGGCGAAGCGAUACCGCGUGGGCGAAGAAGGUCGCAAGAUUGUAAAGCCCUUUUCUGAAGGAAUAAUUCUGAAGGUACUUCAGGAAUAAGCACCGGCUAACUCCGUGCCAGCAGCCGCGGUAAUACGGAGGGUGCAAGCGUUACCCGGAAUCAUUGGGCGUAAAGCGUCCGCAGGUGGUUUGUUAAGUCGAAUGUUAAAUCUUGAAGCCCAACUUCAAGGCUGUGUUCGAAACUGGCAGGCUAGAGUUUUUCAGAGGUACAUGGAAUUCUGUGUGUAGGGGUAAAAUCCGUAGAUAUACAGAGGAACACCAAAAGCGAAGGCAAUGUACUGGGAAACAACUGACACUCAUGGACGAAAGCGUGGGGAGCGAACGGGAUUAGAUACCCCGGUAGUCCACGCCUUAAACGAUGGAUACUAGGUGUUAAAGGAUUCGACCCCUUUAGUGCCACAGCUAACGCAUUAAGUAUCCCGCCUGGGAAGUACGGUCGCAAGAUUAAAACUCAAAGAAAUAGACGGGGACCCACACAAGCGGUGGAGCACCUGGCUCAAUUCGAUAGUGAGCGAGGAACCUUACCUAGGUUUGACAUCUCCGGAAUUCUGCGGAAACGUGGAAGUGCCUUUUGGAACCAGAAGACAGGUGCUGCAUGGUUGUCGUCAGCUCGUGCCUUGAGGUGUUCGGUUAAGUCCGUAAACGAGCGCAACCCAUGUCCUGUGUUGUUUUUUCACAGGAGACUGCCGAUUCAAAGUCGGAGGAAGGUAUGGAUGACGUCAAAUCAGCAUGGCCCUUAUACCUAGGGCUGCACAGGUGCUACAAUGGUUGGUACAAUGGGUAGCAAUGAAGCAAUUCGGAGCCAAUCCCACAAAAGCCAAUCUCAGUUCGGAUUGAAGGCUGCAACUCGCCUUCAUGAAGCUGGAAUCGCUAGUAAACGCGUAUCAGCAAUGGCGCGUUGAAUAUGUUCCUGGGUCUUGUACUCACCGCCCGUCACACUAUGAAAGGUAGGAGCACCCGAAGUUCCCUUAGCCGCAAGGCGGGGGCCUAAGGUGAAACUACUGAUUGGAGUG
rnacentral:rRNA from 1 species